UACAGAGGUCCCAAGCGUUGUUCGGAUUCAUUGGGCGUAAAGGGUGCGUAGGCGGCGCGGUAAGUCGGGUGUGAAAUCUCGGGGCUUAACUCCGAAACUGCAUUCGAUACUGCCGUGCUUGAGGACUGGAGAGGAGACUGGAAUUUGCGGUGUAGCGGUGAAAUGCGUAGAUAUCGUAAGGAAGACCAGUGGCGAAGGCGGGUCUCUGGACAGUUCCUGACGCUGAGGCACGAAGGCCAGGGGAGCAAACGGG
rnacentral:rRNA from 1 species